rnacentral:rRNA from 1 species
UACGUAGGGGGCAAGCGUUAUCCGGAUUUACUGGGUGUAAAGGGAGCGUAGGUGGUAUGAUAAGUCAGAUGUGAAAGCCCGGGGCUCAACCCCGGGAUUGCAUUUGAAACUAUCAAACUAGAGUGCAGGAGAGGUAAGUGGAAUUCCUAGUGUAGCGGUGAAAUGCGUAGAUAUUAGGAGGAACACCAGUGGCGAAGGCGGCUUACUGGACUGUAACUGACACUGAGGCUCGAAAGCGUGGGGAGCAAACAGG